UACGUAGGGGGCUAGCGUUGUCCGGAAUCAUUGGGCGUAAAGCGCGCGUAGGCGGCCCGGUAAGUCCGUUGUGAAAGUCAAAGGCUCAACCUUUGAAAGCCGAUGGAUACUGCCGGGCUGGAGUCCGGAAGAGGCGAGUGGAAUUCCUGGUGUAGCGGUGGAAUGCGCAGAUAUCAGGAGGAACACCAAUAGCGAAGGCAGCUCGCUGGGACGGUAUUGACGCUGAGACGCGAAAGCGUGGGGAGCAAACAGG
rnacentral:rRNA from 1 species